rnacentral:lncRNA from 1 species
AGGAAAUGAAGCUUUCUCAUGAAUGGACCCCACAUAAGUUGGUUCAGCUAAGAUUCACAGUCUAAUUUAAAAGCUUCUCUGCCUAUGGGAUGGGACAUAUCUCCUGUACGAUUUUACCAAUAAGAGUUUUGUAGGUCUUCAUCUAUCAGAUUUGUAGUUCAUUUAUAUAUACAAUAUUAUCUAUAAGUGAUAUGCUAUUUUAUUUUUAUCCUAAAUUCUCUCUCUCUCUCUCUCUCUCUCUCUCUCUCUCUCUCUCUCUAGCUAUGUAUUCUAUAUAUAUACCAACAAAGUCCACAAGAAAUAGAAAGUAGCAAUAAUUUAAAUUUUGGUUUGUUGAAGCAAAAGCACAGGAAGAAGAUCAUGAUCAUGCCACUUAGAGAGAUCGAUGAGCACAAGAAUUCAACAGAAGCCGUGGCUGUGGAAGAGCCAUGCAUGUCCAGAGAGGCUGAUCUUCAUCAUCAGCUUCCAUGGAAAUGGAAUUAAGAAUGGUUAGACCUACGGCUUUCAGAUGAGUUCUACUGCUCUCAAUUAGCAAUAAAUACAAGGAGGCAACCAAAGCAAAAGGGGUUGAAGAAGAAGAUGUAACCCGGCAAGUCUGGUUCUUGGCUCAUGUUUACUUUUACUUUACUUGUUCGCUUCUUAAUUGUUUCUUUCUUCUGCUGUGCUGUUCUUCCCUCCCCCCAUAUGGGGAUCGAAACUCCGACUUUAUAUCUUGUUAUUAAUUUCAUUUAGUGGAACUAUGAAUUAGACCGUAUUAAUAACUUUGAGUUGUAAUUUGUUGUUAGCUUUUCCAGUGUAAUAAUUUCUUUUUUCUUUUACUAGUGGUCAUCGAUUCGUAUUUUGAAUGAUUUGCUUGCUUCUAUAAAACCCAGGUUAGAUUAAUGCUCUAUAUAAAUAAUAAUUUCCGG